rnacentral:rRNA from 1 species
CGGCAGGCUUAACACAUGCAUGUCGAGGGGUAACGAUCCCGCUUCGGUGGGAGGCGACGACCGGCAAAUGGGUGAGUAAUACAUAUGCAACUUGCCCGUAGCUGGAGGAUAGCUUCCGGAAACGGAAAUUAAUACUCCAUAAUAUCCUAAUAUCGCAUGUUAUAAGGAUUAAAGUUUCGACGGCUACGGAUGGGCAUAUGUCCCAUUAGCUUGUUGGUGAGGUAACGGCUCACCAAGGCUACGAUGGGUAGGGGGCCUGAGAGGGUGAUCCCCCACACUGGUACUGAGACACGGACCAGACUCCUACGGGAGGCAGCAGUGAGGAAUAUUGGUCAAUGGGCGAAAGCCUGAACCAGCCAUGCCGCGUGCAGGAUGACUGUCCUAUGGAUUGUAAACUGCUUUUCUGCAGGAAGAAACGCUUCUACGUGUAGAGGUUUGACGGUACUGCAGGAAUAAGCAUCGGCUAACUCCGUGCCAGCAGCCGCGGUAAUACGGAGGAUGCAAGCGUUAUCCGGAUUCAUUGGGUUUAAAGGGUGCGUAGGCGGAUUGGUAAGUCAAAGGUGAAAGUCUGUAGCUUAACUAUAGAAGUGCCUUUAAUACUGUCGGUCUUGAGUAUGGGAGAGGGAGAUGGAAUUCCAGGUGUAGCGGUGGAAUGCGUAGAUAUCUGGAAGAACACCAGUUGCGAAGGCGGUCUCCUGGACCAAUACUGACGCUGAUGCUCGAAAGCUGGGGGAGCGAACAGGAUUAGAUACCCUGGUAGUCCCAGCCGUAAACGAUGGACACUAGUUGCCGGAGGAGUCAAUCCCUUCGGUGACGAAGCUAACGCAUUAAGUGUCCCGCCUGGGGAGUACGCUCGCAAGGGUGAAACUCAAAGGAAUUGACGGGGGCCCGCACAAGCGGUGGAGCAUGUGCUUUAAUUCGAUGCAACGCGAAGAACCUUACCUGGGUUUGACAUGGGGGUGAAAGUUUCCAGAGAUGGAAGCCUUUCCUUCGGGAACACCCCACACAGGUGCUGCAUGGUUGUCGUCAGCUCGUGUCGUGAGAUGUUGGGUUAAGUCCCGCAACGAGCGCAACCCCUGCCCUUAGUUGCCAUCAGGUAAAGCUGGGAACUCUAAGGGGACAGCUUGGUAUAACCAGGAGGAAGGUGGGGAUGACGUCAAAUCAUCAUGGCUCUUACGCCCAGGGCUAGACACGUGCUACAAUGGCAGGUACAGUGGGAUGCCAGCCUGCGAAGGUGAGCUAAUCCCUUAAAACCUGUCUCAGUCCGGAUUGGAGUCUGCAACUCGACUCCAUGAAGUUGGAAUCGCUAGUAAUCGCGGAUCAGCAUGCCGCGGUGAUACGUUCCCGGGCCUUGUACACACCGCCCGUCAAGCCAUGAAAGGCGGUAGUACCCGAAGUCGCGUACC